rnacentral:lncRNA from 10 species
UUGAGAGCAGGAAGGGCACCAAGAUGUCAUCCCUUGCUCUAUUGAGGUGAAAAUGGAAGCAAAGAAAGGGGCAGAUGCUUGCCUGUAUCAGAUGUCCAGAGACCCCUCUAAGACCUUGUUCAGGCAGAGCCACCUGUUAGGUAAAAGGCAGCUCCUGAAAGGCUUCACUCUUCUGCCCUGGUGCAGAAACGGGCCCUACCUCUUUCAGAUUGGCCUGGAGCUGUCAGCUACCAGUGACUUCCAGAACCAACUUGCAAAUGUCUGCCAAUCAGUGGCACUGCUCAGACCAGAGCUCAGAUAAGAUGUUCUGCAGUCUGCUGAGAAAAUCUUCCAACACAGUUGUGGGACACAGAAGUCACUCACCAGAAACACUGGUCAUAUCACUUCUCCUUAUCUCUCUUCCUGGUGACGAAGCCCAAUGCCUGUGAGAUCUUUUUAAACAGAACCCUUUUUCCAAAUAAGAUUUGACCCGACACAGGGCCCCAGUGUAUGUGAACAAUAAAAGCUUCACUCCACUAGUUUAAAUAUAUUUUCUAAGAAGUUCAAGUUUCCAACAUGUUACUGUGUUACUUAUGAAAUCAGUGU